rnacentral:rRNA from 1 species
UACGUAGGGUGCGAGCGUUGUCCGGAAUUAUUGGGCGUAAAGAGCUUGUAGGCGGUUUGUCGCGUCUGCUGUGAAAAUCCGGGGCUCAACCCCGGACUUGCAGUGGGUACGGGCAGACUAGAGUGUGGUAGGGGAGACUGGAAUUCCUGGUGUAGCGGUGGAAUGCGCAGAUAUCAGGAGGAACACCGGUGGCGAAGGCGGGUCUCUGGGCCGUAACUGACGCUGAGGAGCGAAAGCGUGGGGGGAGCGAACAGGA